UACGUAGGGGGCUAGCGUUGUCCGGAUUUAUUGGGCGUAAAGAGCGUGUAGGCGGCCAGAUAGGUCUGCUGUGAAAACUCGAGGCUCAACCUCGAGAUGUCGGCGGAAACCAUUUGGCUAGAGUCCGGAAGAGGAGAGUGGAAUUCCUGGUGUAGCGGUGAAAUGCGCAGAUAUCAGGAAGAACACCCGUGGCGAAGGCGGCUCUCUGGGACGGUACUGACGCUGAGACGCGAAAGCGUGGGGAGCGAACAGG
rnacentral:rRNA from 1 species